rnacentral:rRNA from 1 species
UACGUAGGGGGCAAGCGUUAUCCGGAUUUACUGGGUGUAAAGGGGGCGCAGACGGCGAUGCAAGCCAGGAGUGAAAGCCCGGGGCCCAACCCCGGGACUGCUCUUGGAACUGCGUGGCGGGAGUGCAGGAGGGGCAGGCGGAAUUCCUGGUGUAGCGGUGAAAUGCGUAGAUAUCAGGAGGAACACCGGUGGCGAAGGCGGCCUGCUGGACUGCAACUGACGUUGAGGCCCGAAAGCGUGGGGAGCAAACAGG